CAGCAAAGAAGAAGGGGGUUGCAGGGUUUCAAUGCCACCUCAGCUCGGGGUGACGCUCUUCAAGAGUUGGCCCUGACUCUGGCUCUAGACCAAACCCUGGCUCCCAAUCUGACUGAGCCACUGACCAGGCCUCAGGCUGAACCCAGUGAGGCAUCUCAUAUGUGAACAUUUGUCUCAGCUCACGCCACACCCAUGGACACUGGCUACCUUUUCGGCAGUAGUAGUCUGGUGGAUGGCCAGCAGUGAAAGCAGGACGAGAACUUUGCUGCAGGUACGGACAGGCCUUGGGGGCUUCAUCGUGGCUCCAGUGUCUGC
rnacentral:lncRNA from 1 species